CUUGACUCCAGGUUUCUGCACUAUUUGAGUUCCUGCCUUGACUCCCCUGCACAAUAGACUGUGAUGUGGGGCUGUAAGCUAAAAUAACCCUUCUCCUGCCCCAACUUGCUUUUGGUCAUGGUGUUUUAUUACAGCCAUAGAAACCCAGACUAAGGCAGGGGGUAAACAGCUAAGCACAGUACUCUAUUGUUUGGAUAACCGUUCCUUUUUGAAGGGUAUCUGAGAGGCACAUCCCUGUGUCAGUCACAGACAUAAUUCUACCUCAGAAGGAGUUGCUGAGAGAGAGAAGAAAUCCCGGAGCUGCAGAUUCUUAUGCUUCCAUGCUCUCUAGCAAGUUACCAAAUUUCAAGUUCUCAGAAGGCAUAAAAAGUGGGGUACCUAAUAUGGAACAGAGACUGAAGAGGGACGAGAUAAAGUAUGAGCGUUUGCGUGCUAAACCAAAAUCAGUCAAAAAUGUAGCUCCUACUUUUUACUAUACUCAUUUUGUACAUUUGCCAUACCUUGGGAUCUGGAGGAAGAAGUCAACUGAGUACUGUUGUAAAGCCUUGUCUCCUCGAGAUCUGUCUGACCUCAGCCAGGCAAAUGCUUCGCAGAGCCCAGAAUGCCUUAUUUCUGUGAAUUUUCCCUAUCAUGGUGUGAGGACAGAACAAUGACUCCCAGACAUGUGUGCCGAGUCACAGAGACCCGGAGGAAGAAGGAGGCCUCCACAGUGUGUACAAAUGAUGGCACUCACCCACAACCUUACCCAGUCCCUUGCUUCUUGAAGCUUAUGUAGCCCUGGAGGGAAAGCCAAGCUUUGGAAACUGUCCUGGAAGACUGAGACCUAGAUCCCAUUACUGGCCCCCAUGCUCUUGACUCAGAUGGCAGGCCCUAGAAAGCGUUGGACCCUGGCUGGCUAUUAUAAAGAUGUUACAAGCUAAUGCUGAGGCACAACAACAACAUAAAAAAGAAGGGGGAGAGAAGUAUUGCAUAAAAAGAGAUGAAGAAAUCCAGGUGGCGUAUGUUCAACCCGGUGAAUUUCUUAAUUCAGUCCAACUCAGUGCAGGUUAGAAGGGGC
rnacentral:lncRNA from 1 species